AGAAGGUCAAAGAAGGUCAAAGAAGGUUACAGAAAAUCAAUAAUGUCAAAGAAGUUCAAAGAAGGUCAAAGAAGUUCGAAGAAGGUCAAAAGACGAAUAUGUAGUCAGAGAGGGUCAGAGAAGGUGAGGAGGCUGAAAGUCUGGGAAAAGAAUAUCUGAGAAGUUCAGGAAUGAAAGCAAGUUCAGGGUAGGUCAAAUGGUGGAGGGAGGGUCAGAGAGGGUUAGAUAGGGUCCAAACACGAAAAGAAGGUAAAGGGGGUCAGAGAAAGUGAAAGGAGAUCAAAAAGGUAAAGGCAGAAAGAAGUUAAAGAGGGUCAGAGAAGGUGAAAGAAG